GGUGGUUCUCAGGUGACGCACCCUGGAAUCAGGCUCCCUCCUCUCUGGUUCUGGGUGUGUCACCCGAGAACCACA
rfam:Myotis davidii contig18019, whole genome shotgun sequence.